ensembl:lncRNA
UUAACAUUGUCUAGACCUUUCAGUAACAGCUCAAAAGCUGCCAAAAUACAUUACGAUAAAAAUAACAUAAAGUCAUAACAUUGUACAUUCACAACUAAUUCCCCCUGAAAUUUGAAUAAGUCUGAAAAAGGUAUCUGAAUACAUCCUGUUUUUAAAAAAUCUUGCAAGUGCUCAAUCAUGAUUAGACAAUAAAAAGCAGACUCAGCUGGCCCUAUUUGUUCCUCCUAGCCUAGCCUAAGGAUUCAGUGUAGAAAAGUGAUCCAGACAUCCUGAGACAGACAAGUCUUCAGUCUUAUUUGGUGCAGCUACACAUGAGCACCCACGGGGAGGAGAGCACCCACGGGGGGGGGGGAGAACCCCCCCCCCACACACACACACACACUCUCUCUCUCUCUCUCUCUCUCUCUCUCUGAUGCGUCCCUGUGUGCCAGUUGGACGUGUGUGGUGACCUGACACAAGGUGUGUGAUGAAUUGUGGUGGGAUUAAACUUGCAUACCCACACACACGCCAGACAGACAUGGUGAGGGGUAAAACGACCUCACAACCGAACAGGUCAAAGGUCACCUCACAAACGAGCCCUUCUCACUGAGGCGUCCUGAAAAUGUGUGGUAAGAAACUACCAGAUGCGCACUCGGCAUCCCUUCCAACUCAGAGAAUGGCAUUUACAAUUCAGUUAAUAAAUAUAUUCAUAACAAACGAACAAACAUUAUCUACCUGCCACAGCUCAGCAUCCUAAACACGCUAACUAGCUAACACAACCAGGGAAAUGGACACCAGAGGACAUGACUCUAGCAGAGGGGAGGGAGGGAGUCAGGAAAUGUAGGAGAUGAAGAGAGAGGACUGGCUGCUACCUUCACAGCUCUCAGACCCGUCUCAACUAGGACAUAAUUUAAAUAUUAACACCCCCGUCACCCGUCCUACCUAGGAGAUGAUUUUAACACCACCCCCCCCCCCCCCCACACACAAGCAUUCUGUGCUACAUAUCCUCUUCAGGAUACAUGAGAAAGAGGAAAGAAAAGAAACACAGAAAUCUUCACCCCCCUUAACACACACACACACAUACACACACUAAACACAGGCAUCCCCGCAGUUGCUGAGAUGUUAAACUCAUUGCAGGGGUGGACCUAGCUGGUCACGGCCCAUAGGGAGAUUCCAAGAAUAAUGCCUUGGACACCAACUAUCUCACGCACAGAGAUGAUGACAUGUCAUUCAGGAAUCGCAUUACAAGAAAUAAAAAUGGCAAAGUAACAAAUAAAAAUGUGUGCUGUGGUCAUCUAGCUGAUCAGACAUUUCUCUUUAAAAUACAUUAAAAUCACUCCUAGUGCAUAACACUCACGGGGCAACCCUUGCAAGGUCUGCACAAUGACAGGACUACAGGAGCUGGAACCAGCGCACACACACACGCACACACACACACGCACACACACACACACGCACACGCACACACAAACGCGCGUACACACAAACGCGCGCAAACACGCGCACGCACACACACACACCAAUGCCAAUGCCCAGCCUCUCCUCUUCAGUCUUUGUUGUCAUGGUAGGACUCUUGCUCUUCGUCCCUCUUACUGCUCAUGUGCUGCGCUCAUUCCACGUACCUGCCCCGACUUCCUCAGCUGAGACAAACAGGCAGAGGACGCAAGGUUAGCACACGUUAGCGCCAUUUUAACACACACACACACACAGGUUAGUAGUCUCUACACACAGGUUAGUCUCCACACACACACACACACACACACACAGGUUAGUACAGUCUCCACACACACACAGGUUAGUACAGUCUCCACAAACACAUACAAACAGUUUGGUACAGUCUCCACACACACACACACACACACACACACACACACACACACACACACACACACACACACACACACACACACACACACACACACACACACACACACACACACACACACACACACACACACAGGUUAGUGCAAUCGCCAAACACA